AGGAUCUUUCUCACCUAGCCUCCUAAACUCCAAGAAAAACAAAUAAGAGCAAACAAAGGCAGGAAGAAAGGGAUUAUAUUUGUUGCCAUUGAUCAGAGCCGGUCUCUUCUGGAUCAAGGUCCUUUUGACAUUGUUCUUCACAAGUUCACUGGAAAAGAGUGGCAACAUGUCCUGGAGCUCAUGAUAUUUGUAGAUUAUGCUGGAGGAUUUCUUCCAACUGUCAAUCAUAGUCCUUGGAAUGGCAUAUCACUUGCUGAUUUUGUCAUGCCAUUAUUCUUGUUUAUAGUUGGAGUUGCACUUUCCCUUACAUAUAAGGUAAUC